UUUCAAUGUUGCCCGGAAUUUCACAGUCGAGAAAUCUGCCGUGAAUCAGUCGAAUUCGAACUACUUAACGAGAUACGAGGCAGUGAAUCCGACCGAACAUUAAAGCGACGUUGCGAGCCACGAGAACAGACCUUUGUCCUUGCCUGAUAAACAUUUUUUUUUAUAAACAACCGUGCCACCGUUUCAACGGUUUUACGGUCGUCGAGAUAAACGUCGUUGAAGCUACCAUGAGGGGAGACGUCACGAGAAGCGGAGAAAACAAGCGGCAGACGUUUCUACGAUUGAAGGCAGCUCGAGCUUCGCUUAAAUCAGUGAAACUGUUGGCAAUUGACACUUUCACUGCCGCGCCGAAAUCACAUGUUUCGCUCAGGACGCCACGGGAGUAUUUUUGUUAUUCAAAGCAUAUAAUGGCAAAAUAAUAAUAAAUUGACGAUGUAAGACAACAUUCUUCCCCAAUGGACCGUUUAUCUUAUUGGUGCUCACGGGUGACCACGGUGGCGCCUUGGUAACAGCUGAUAGCGACAUAUUAUAACAAGGCUUCGUUUAUUUCAACAAACCAUUCGCGUUCGUUAUUUCGUCAUAAGCAAAACGUGCAGAAUAUAUUGUUGAAACGUGUAGAAGAUAUUAGUAAACGAUAUUUGCUCAUUCUAUAUAUAAUAGUAAGGUAUGUUCACGCUUCUAACUUCAAUUAUAUGAUUAUAAAGCAGCAUUUACGAUUAUUUUCUAAGCUGUGUUUAUAAUAAUAUUCGUAAACUACCCCUCAAAGAUAUGGAUGCAAACACAGUGCACCGUUAGAUGCAAGAUUUGUUCUCAUUUUCUUUUUAUUGAUGUUCUAAUAAAAAUGUUUAAUCACUUUUUAUUUCAAAGUAUCUUCUGUUUAUCGAUUAUACUCAAAAUGCCCUAACUGUCAAUUUUCAUACAAUUUUUACAAUUGUAAGAAGUUCAAGCGCUUCGGUCACCAAUGACCACCGUGGCGUCACAGGAGAAACCGUGGCCGGUCAUAUAUGACCCACGUGACAGUCAAAGUAUUAAAU
rnacentral:misc_RNA from 1 species